UCACACACUCUGCCUACUGCACAUGCGCAAUCUCAUAAAUAAAUCCGACUUUAAUCAACUUAAUUAAGAUCUAUCAACAAAUUAUUCGAAGUUUUGGGUAAGUUAGAAUGUUUUUCACCAUCAUAAUGUAAUAAAAUAGGUUAUAUGACAAAUACUUAUGUUGCAUAUUUUGACAGUUAUCAGGUAUAGUUAAUUAAAUGUUUUAACGAAUUUCCUGGGUGUUUUAAUCGAUGUUGUUUCAAAUUACGUAUUAAUAUAACACUGAUAAGACACAAACUACAGUUCGGUAUGUAAUUUAACUUGUUUACACGAGUAAAAGUUACUCGCGCUAAUGUGCUAACGUGCUAACUGCCCGGUGCUACGUGAGUCAGAGGCCGGGGUGGAGUGCAUGAGCCGCGGUCAGACAGUCACCAAUCACCGGGCGGCUAAAUGGACCGACGGAGGAUAAAACCAUUAAAAGAUGCGGAGAAACACAUCACCAGCUCCACUGACAAGACCCAUUCACUGGAAACCGAAUAUAUAGAAGGUUACUAAGUUUUGCAGCAUUGAUGCCGAUCAUGAGGACGAUCUGCACCCUAACUGCACUGUCAAUAAGAUCGUUGUUCAGAGAAAACCUCAUUUGUGCCUUUUUGCAAUCAGGGAUAUUUUCUUUGGAGAGGAAAUAACGUUUGACUAUGGCGCAAGUGAUUGGCCUUGGAGAAAGUUUUGACAUUUUGAUCACUUAAUACAUUAAUCCUUAAUACAUUCAGCAAAGCUAAGAGUUUUUUAAUGUUAAUAUAAAUUAAGGGUAAAUCUGUUCAAAAAUAAAGAGUUUGCAUCAUCCUUAAGAGAAAUCAAUCUCUUAAUAUCUUCUUCUUGUCUUAAUGGGUAAAAAAGUUUAAUUAAUUGGGUAAUGCUUUACUUUAAAGGGGGGUUCAUAAGACUGUCAUGAAAGCUUUAUAGUCAUGACAUGACUUAUAUAACAAAGCUGUUUUUAAAUAGCUUUCAUUGAAGGAUGCCCAUAUGACUGCAGAAGAAAACUGCUCCGACAACUCACUGAUGAGCUUUUAUUGAAGUAUGAUCAUAUGACGAGAAGAAGAGAACUGCUCUGCUCCAGUAGGAGACCCACAACCCUCUGAUGAGGUUUGCUGAAGUAUGACCGUAUGACAGAAGGAGAGAACAGCUCUGCUCCAGUACGAGACCCACAACUCUGAUGAGCUUAUAUUGAAGGAUGACCAUAUGACAGGGGAAGAGAAC